GACGAACGCUGGCGGCGUGCUUAACACAUGCAAGUCGAACGGAAAGGCCUCUUCGGAGGUACUCGAGUGGCGAACGGGUGAGUAACACGUGGGCAAUCUGCCCUGCACUUCGGGAUAAGCCUGGGAAACUGGGUCUAAUACCGGAUAGGACCUUAAGACGCAUGUCUUUUGGUGGAAAGCUUUUGCGGUGUGGGAUGGGCCCGCGGCCUAUCAGCUUGUUGGUGGGGUGACGGCCUACCAAGGCGACGACGGGUAGCCGGCCUGAGAGGGUGUCCGGCCACACUGGGACUGAGAUACGGCCCAGACUCCUACGGGAGGCAGCAGUGGGGAAUAUUGCACAAUGGGCGCAAGCCUGAUGCAGCGACGCCGCGUGGGGGAUGACGGCCUUCGGGUUGUAAACCUCUUUCACCAUCGACGAAGG
rnacentral:rRNA from 1 species